UUUCCUCGCCGCCGUCUCCCUCCCCCGAGGAGCACGAACCCAAACACACUGAGACACGCCCCCGCGCCGCCCCUCGCGCCGCCCAUUGGACUGCGCCCCGACGACCCCCGCGCUGAUUGGCUGUCUCGCCUGCUCGUCUUAUCUUUCUCCGCCCCUGAAUGCUGUCCAUUGGGGAGAGCCGCACGCAUCUCCCCGCCCAUAAGCCAAGGCCCACGUCCAUCAAAGAGAAAGACCCGCCUUCCAGCUCCUCUGAUUGGACAGACUCGACGGUACCCCUUCAAUGAUUGGCUGCCCCGGCUGACUGUCACGUAUUGACGUUACCUCCCUCGCUGGCUACCGACCGACCCCCUCCCACUCCUCCCCCUGGCUGGGAGGUUGGCCCCGUAGAUGAGACGCCCGCCCCUACUUGCCCCGCCCCCUCUCGCUACGGAUUGGCCGGUAGGCUGCGCCCUCGCACGCCAUUGGCGAAGGCGUGUGCUCGUCACAUUGUAACGCGGCCCAUCGAGCAGCGGCGCUGGAAACGAAGUGGAUGUGGGGGCUGCAGCAGCGUGCCUCCUUCCUCUGCCCAAUGGAGGAGACGGGCACACCCGGUAAUGAGGAGGACAGCGGCCACCGCCUCUUCGUGAUGCCAGGGGGCAACAACGCCACACUCCUGCCGUCUGCAACAUUUACUUCUUGCUCCGCCCUUCCCACACAGCGAUUGGACGGGGAGGAUGUCAGUCACACUACUGGCCAGCCCAUUGGUCGGGGGCGACUCCUCCGCAGCCAACUGGCAGCCGCCUUCGGUGCCAGAUUACGCGCAGGCGUGGGCGGGAGGGGGCGUUGUCUUCCCUAUGAUUGGUUGAGUUAACUGUCAAUCUCCGCACCGUCUCCUGGAGGCGGGGGGAAGGCGGUGUCGGGCCGCGUGAGGCGGUGGGGGCGUCACGUGGCUCUCCCAGUUGCGCACGUGACGGGGCUGGCGGCGGCGGUUGGUGGGGGGGCGGUGUGAGGCGCUUCCUCAGAGCGCGGGUUGGCGGCAGCGCUGCUCCGCACGCAAACACUUCUGCUAAGGAUUCAGCAUUUCCUGCUCCUUCAGCUUUUUGGUCUUCUAUAACAGCAGAGAACAAACACAAAAGAGCAACUUAAAGAAAAAACAGAGGGAAUGAAUACUAGAAUUAAAUGAAAGCAGGAGAAAAUGAAGGAGAUACGUCAAAUGUGAUUUUCAAACUUGAAUGCAUGCCAGAGGAAGAUGUCUGCGUUGUUCUUCCAGUACUGAAAAUGAAGCAGUGUGCACAUAAAAGUUAUUGGCAGCUGUGCUGAGGCCGGAGGUCGUGCAGCUCCUCAGGCAAGAUUUUAUUUACCUUUUAACCUCCCCAUUUCCCCAACUUGGUCGGAGAUAUGAUACUCAACAGCAGCGGGAGCCUGCACACAACAGUUUGAGUCACCUUUAGCUGAACCUAAAUAAAACUAAAGUGUAGGUAUGUGAAAGCAAUUGCAGUAUUUUAUUGUCACAGCUCCACCUUCAUCAUCAGGACAGAGUUAGAAUUUUACAUAGGGCAACUGCUAAAGGUUCUCUCCCCUUCCACUUUCCAAGGUUUAGGCGUACACUGGAGUUUUCCAUUGCUUCUAGGGUAGAUACGGCACUCAUUUGUGUACUUUUUAAUGUCACCUAGCCCCAUUGCAAUAGAACAGUCAGGCUUGGAAGAAAAAAGAGGGCUGGGACACAAACCUCCCAUCCUCUUUAUUCCUCAGGAAGCGUGAAUAUAUAUAUGUGCCCUUGCAAUUAGGGAAUAAGGAAGUUAUGCAUAUCUGGUAAUACCACACUUGCAGGACUAAUGCUAUUGCUGGAAAUGCUCCCACCUGUCUUGUCUAGUUCAGACUCCUACUAAGAUAACAGGAAUAUGUGAUUUUUUCCUCCCAAUUAUUACUGUUUUUUUCCUGGGAGUUGUAGCUGUGUAGUAAUUUAAGAUGUCAGCUUUCCAAGGCUUUGCAGUGAUUCUAAUUAAUUGGGUAUGUUAUUUAAUUUUUAUUUUAACUUGGGCUUUU